AGAGUUUGAUCCUGGCUCAGAAUCAACGCUGGCGGCGUGCCUAACACAUGCAAGUCGAACGAGAACGGUUUCCCGGUAGCAAUACUGGGAGACCAAGUAAAGUGGCGAACGGGUGAGUAACACGUAGCCAACCUGCCCUUCAGUGGGGGAUAACCCUGCGAAAGCGGAGCUAAUACCGCAUACAGUCCCCGGGGCACAGGCUCUGGGGAGCAAAGCCGGUAACGGUGCUGAAGGAGGGGGCUGCGGCCGAUUAGUUAGUUGGUAGGGUAACGGCCUACCAAGGCUCCGAUCGGUAGCCGGCCUGAGAGGGCGCACGGCCACACUGGAACUGAAACACGGUCCAGACUCCUACGGGAGGCAGCAGUGGGGAAUUUUGCACAAUGCCCGAAAGGGUGAUGCAGCAACGCCGCGUGGAGGAUGAAGGUCCUCGGAUCGUAAACUCCUUUCGACCCGGAAGAAGGCCCGGUGAUGAGCCGGGAUUGACGGUACGGGUGGAAGAAGCCCCGGCCAACUACGUGCCAGCAGCCGCGGUAAUACGUAGGGGGCAAGCGUUGUUCGGAAUUACUGGGCGUAAAGGGCGCGUAGGCGGCCCGGCAAGUCUCGUGUGAAAUCUCCCCGCUUAACGGGGAGGGGUCGCGGGAAACCGUCG
rnacentral:rRNA from 1 species